CCUCGCUCAGCCACGAGAUACUCGGCUUCGAUGCUCAGGGUAAUGUCGUCAACUACGGUUGUUCCGAGCUGAUGACAGCGGAGCGCAUCGGAGAGAGGAGCGCCAAGCUGGUGUCUUUCCUGGACCUGGCGGGCCACAGCAAGUACCAACGCACCACGCUCCACGGGCUCACGGGUUACUCCCCGCACUACGCCAUGCUCGUUAUUUCGGCAACAGCCGGUAUAACUCGCAUCACAGAAGAACACAUCGGUCUUCUG